GACGAACGCUGGCGGCGUGCUUAACACAUGCAAGUCGAACGGAAAGGCCCUGCUUUUGUGGGGUGCUCGAGUGGCGAACGGGUGAGUAACACGUGAGUAACCUGCCCUUGACUUUGGGAUAACUUCAGGAAACUGGGGCUAAUACCGGAUAGGAGCUCCUGCUGCAUGGUGGGGGUUGGAAAGUUUCGGCGGUUGGGGAUGAACUGGCGGCUUAUCAGCUUGUUGGUGGGGUAGUGGCUUACCAAGGCUUUGACGGGUAGCCGGCCUGAGAGGGUGACCGGCCACAUUGGGACUGAGAUACGGCCCAGACUCCUACGGGAGGCAGCAGUGGGGAAUAUUGCACAAUGGGCGGAAGCCUGAUGCAGCAACGCCGCGUGCGGGAUGACGGCCUUCGGGUUGUAAACUGCUUUCGCCUGUGACGAAGCGUGAGUGACGGUAAUGGGUAAAGAAGCACCGGCUAACUACGUG
rnacentral:rRNA from 1 species